UCCUACGGGGGGCAGCAGUGAGGAAUAUUGGUCAAUGGUCGGGAGACUGAACCAGCCAAGCCGCGUGAGGGAUGAAGGUACAGAGUAUCGUAAACCUCUUUUGUCAGGGAACAAAGGCGGGGACGUGUCCCCGGAUGAGUGUACCUGAAGAAAAAGCAUCGGCUAACUCCGUGCCAGCAGCCGCGGUAAUACGGAGGAUGCGAGCGUUAUCCGGAUUUAUUGGGUUUAAAGGGUGCGCAGGCGGUCUGUUAAGUUAGCGGUCAAAGCCCGGGGCUCAACCCCGGCCCGCCGUUGAAACUGGCAGU
rnacentral:rRNA from 1 species